rnacentral:rRNA from 1 species
GACGGAGGAGGCAAGCGUUAUCCGGAAUUAUUGGGCGUAAAGCGUCCGUAGGUGGCUAUUCAAGUCUUUUGUCAAAGAGCGGAGCUUAACUCCGACAAGGCAGAAGAAACUGAGUAGCUAGAGAUUGGUAGGGGUAGAGGGAAUUCCUGGUGUAGCGGUGAAAUGCGUAGAUAUCAGGAAGAACACCAGUGGCGAAGGCGCUCUACUGGGCCAAUACUGACACUGAGGGACGAAAGCUAGGGGAGCGAAAGGG